AUACAGUUGUGCUUGUCAUAGAACUGUUUAUUGUGCACGUAAAUUUUUGGAUUAUAUGGAUAAAUUUCGAAGUAGUUAAUUAUAAAAUGGAUGUACUGAUAAGGCGUAUUUUCAAAACCAGCCAUGGCCAUAUAUUUUUAUUAUCAUCGAAGAAAAGGACAACACUAGAAGAAAAAGAAAAUUUAGAAGACGGAAUACAGAAAUAUGAGGGAUAAUAAGUUAUGUUACCCAGUUCACUUUUAUGAAGUUUGAGUUCAGAAGUUUGAGUUCAGAAGUUUGAGUUAAAAUUUAAAAAGUUUUGAGUUCAAUUUACAAGUUUGAAAGAUAUACAUGUACAUGUAUAAAGAUGGUUUUAUAAACUCUUUGGUGUUUCUCAUUUUUUCCCCAGAAUGUUUCUGGAUAUCUUCCUUCAGAUACAUGUAUACAACAGA